AUCCCAAAAAGCCGGUCUCAGUUCGGAUUGGAGUCUGCAACUCGACUCCAUGAAGUCGGAGUCGCUAGUAAUCGCAAAUCAGCAAAGUUGCGGUGAAUACGUUCUCGGGCUUUGUACACACCGCCCGUCACACCACGAAAGUAGGCAACGCCCGAAGUCAGUGGCCUAACCCUUAUGGGAGGGAGCUGCCGAAGGCGGGGUUUAUGAUUGGGGUGAAGUCGUAACAAGGUAGCCGUACGGGAACGUGCGGCUGGAUCACCUCCUUU
rnacentral:rRNA from 1 species